ACCAAACCCAGUGAGGCGGUGCUUUAGUUUUGUUGGUGCUAACAUCAGGAAGAGUCUUAUAGAAGAUGUGAGACGGACUCUGCCAAGCUUCAAAUCCAGGUUGAAGACAUGCGCGGCUAGAAAGAUCAGAAGAAGAAGAUUCCAGCGUUUCAGAUGAGCUGCUUAUUUCCUUCUUUUCAUCAUUAUCGCCACAAUACCGCUCUUUGUUAUUCCUUCCAGGGUGGAAAAAUAAAAAAUAAAAUAAUAGACAAAGACAAUGAACAUCACUGGCAUCAUGAGAGUUACAGUAUAUCACAUGGACACAUUGCUCGGAAAACAACCAACCUGACUGUCUCUUCAGAGGACAGCUUUCCAGAAACGAGGACUUUCUUUUUCCUAAACUGAGCCUUUGCAUCCACAUCAGAUUCUGUUUAAGAAAUACUGCCUGUGUCAUUUCUGUUGGGCUCCAUCACCAAUAAUAAUGUAUAUAUUUACAUUACCGUCUCCGGUUGUCCUCUGGUCAAGUCUGUUGAGAGAGCGACUGUUCCUCAUGAACGGGGCAUUAGUGAGGGAGGAGGUGUGGAGGGAUGAAAAGCUCCGGCUGCUACAGAGCUGCAGAGCAGGUCUGGUUGGAUGAGAUGACGGCCUGGAAGCCCAAUGACCCCCACGACCUUUGUGGCUGCUUCUUUUCAAAGUGGCAACAGCCUUACUGUCUCCAUCGCUGCUGCUGACGCUGUUACUCCUUCGACCAUUUAAAGUAGCUUUCGAUGCACUGCUGCCAGCCUGUUUACUUCUACUAGAUACGGGCACUGUUAAUGAUGAUGCCUCCUUUGAGAGAGACAGAGAGAACGAUACAGACCUCAAACACUUUAUUGGUUCACUUUUUUGAUGAAGGAAAGGGACAUAAAGUCCAGCGAAAGCAAAACAACAACGAAAAUCUAAUUCAAUUCUUGAUUCUCGACUGUUUGCAUCAGAAAAAGGACCUCUGCCAAUACUUUGCUACACGUUUAUCUCAAUAAAACUUGGUUUGACAUACUA